GAUUCWCCGUCAACGACGUCGGCUUUUCGGUGUUUCUUAAUGCGCUGCGCCCAUCCGGGCGUUUGUCGCACGAGUCCUCAGUGCAACCUCAUGUCCUGCGGCGUCAGCGUGUAUUCUCCCCUAGUAGGACGUCGGAACCCGUAGGGUGUCGGUCGACGGCUGAAGCCGUCACCUGUACCGUCGCUUCGACGUUUCGGGGCAGACGCUUGAUCGCCCGGCCGGCUGCCCAGCGGUACACGCACCGUAUCUGACCGCAAUCUCGAACUGCGUCUCGGGUCCGCCGCAAGCGCGGUCAGUGUAAACUCGGUGGUACGGACCCUGCAACGUCCCCGCGCCUGGCCCGCUGUUCGCCGGCGGUGUUCUCUGACCGGCCGCGAGUAGAGAUACC
rnacentral:rRNA from 1 species